UACAUGGGGUGCAAACGUUGCUCGGAAUUAUUGGGCGUAAAGCGCACGUAGGCGGUUUGUUAAGUCGGAUGUGAAAUCCCUCGGCUCAACUGAGGAAGUGCACCCGAAACUGGCAGGCUUGAGUACUAAAGAGGGUCGCGGAAUUCCCGGUGUAGAGGUGAAAUUCGUAGAUAUCGGGAGGAACACCGGUGGCGAAGGCGGCAUCCUGGACCGGCAUUGACGCUGAGGCGCGAAAGCCAGGGGAGCAAACGGG
rnacentral:rRNA from 1 species